GGAGUAGGCUCCUGUGGCGCCAGUGGAGAAGCUUUGUGGCAAGCUGGUGGAGGAGGUGUUGGUAGCGAGUGUGAAGGGUGGUGAGGUGUAGGGUGUGGAGGGCCUCCUGGCUCAGGCGUGUAGAUGGGAGCAGGAGAAGAAAGAACAAAGGAAGAGGACGAAGAAGAAAGGAAAAAUGGAAGUGGAAGAAGAGGAGGAGCCAAGCCACAAUAUUUAGGUCCGCAGAAAACGACACGCUGAUUUAUUUGAAGUCAAGGAUGGAGAUUAAAACGGCCUUUAAAAACACCACACCCGUUUUGUCCACCGCCAUCACCACCUUCUCCCAGAUCAAGGAAGUGUAUUACGGACUCACACAAAAGGAAGAGGUGAGUACCCGUAUCACAGGUCACACCGUGGGACUGACACCGCUGCAGCAACCCUUCGGAAUAAAGUCAAGUACAAAUUACGGUUUGCUAGGCGUUAGGUGUUAGGCAUAGGGCGAUAGGCGGCGCGGCUAACCAUUCUCUUCCAGGUACAUGUUAAUUAUCUAGUCUUCUUCAGUAAUGCCCUGGUUACUUUUGGCUAAAAUAAGCGUCUUGUGUGUGUGUGUGUGUGUGUGUGUGUGUGUGUGUGUGUGUAUAUGUAUUUACCUAGUUGUAGUUUUACAGGGCCUGGGAUUUAUGUUCGUGUGG